UCGUGCUAGACGGGGAGGUAGCGGUGCCCUGAACCUGCAACCCGCUGUAGCAGGGUUGAAUCCCUGUCCCCGGCCCGUAUUUUUCAGGGUCUGACCCGGAGAAGUGGUGUUGACGACCGGGUCCCGUGCGGCGUAAGCUUGUGAAUCCCGUCAGGUCCGGAAGGAAGCAGCGGUAAGCAGGUCCUUGCGGGCGCCACGGGGCGGCCUGGUUUGAGCUGGCUG
rnacentral:SRP_RNA from 1 species